UGUGUGUGUGUGUGUGUUGUGUGUGUGUGUGUGUUGUGUGUGUGUGUGUGUGUUUGUAUACACACACACACACACACACACACACACACACACACACAUAUAUAUAUAUAUAUAUAUAUAUAUGUAUAUAUAUAUUGUGUGUGUGUGUCUGUAUAUACAUACAUACAUAUAUACAUACAUAU